UACGGGGGGUGCGAGCGUUGUUCGGAAUUACUGGGCGUAAAGAGUGUGUAGGCGGUGCUCCCAGUCUGUUGUGAAAUCUCCCGGCUUAACUGGGAGGGUGCAGCGGAAACUAGAGUGCUAGAGGGUGGGAGAGGUAAGCGGAAUUCCUGGUGUAGCGGUGAAAUGCGUAGAUAUCAGGAGGAACACCUGUGGUGUAGACAGCUUACUGGACCACUUCUGACGCUGAGACACGAAAGCGUGGGUAGCAAACAGG
rnacentral:rRNA from 1 species